AUUGAACGCUGGCGGCAUGCCUAACACAUGCAAGUCGAACGAGUGGCGGACGGGUGAGUAAUGUCUGGGCAACUGCCUGAUGGAGGGGGCUAACUACUGGAAACGGUGGCUAAUACCGCAUACCAUCCGAUGUGGUCAGUGGGGAUUAGCUGGUUGGUGGGGUAACGGCUCACCAGGGCGACGAUCCCCAGCUGGUCUGAGAGGCUGACCGGCCACACUGGAACUGAGACACGGUCCAGACUCCUACGGGAGGCAGCAGUGGGGAAUAUUGCACAAUGGGCGCAAGCCUGACGCAGCCAUGCCGCGUGUAUGAAGAAGGCCUUCGGGUUGUAAAGUCCUUCCAGCGGGGAGGCGUUACCCGCAGAAGAAGCACCGGCUAACUCCGUGCCAGCAGCCGCGGUAAUAC
rnacentral:rRNA from 1 species